UGGUGAAAUUGGUAGACACGCUAGCUUCAGGAGCUAGUUCCCGCAAGGGAUUGGGAGUUCGAGUCUCCC
rnacentral:tRNA from 1 species